GACGAACGCUGGCGGCGUGCUUAACACAUGCAAGUCGAACGGAAAGGCCCUGCUUUUGUGGGGUGCUCGAGUGGCGAACGGGUGAGUAACACGAGAGUAACCUGACCUUGACUUUGGGAUAACUUCAGGAAACUGGGGCUAAUACCGGAUAGGAGCUCCUGUUGCAUGGAGGGGGAUGGAAAGUUUCGGCGGUUGGGGAUUGACUCGCGGCUUAUCAGCUUGUUGGUGGGGUAGUGGCUUACCAAGGCUUGGACGGGUAGCCGGCCUGAGAGGGUGACCGGCCACAUUGGGACUGUGCUACGGCCCGGACUCCUACGGGAGGCAGCAGUGGGGAAUAUUGCACGAUGGGCGGAAGCCUGAUGCAGCAACGCCGCGUUCGGGAUGACGGCCUUCUGGUUGUAAACCGCUUUCGCCUGUGACGAAGCGUGCGUGACGGUAAUGGAUAAAGAAGCACCGGCUAACUACGUG
rnacentral:rRNA from 1 species